AAAGCAGGUCAUAGUGAUCCGGUGGUUCUGAAUGGAAGGGCCAUCGCUCAACGGAUAAAAGGUACUCCGGGGAUAACAGGCUGAUACCGCCCAAGAGUUCAUAUCGACGGCGGUGUUUGGCACCUCGAUGUCGGCUCAUCACAUCCUGGGGCUGAAGUAGGUCCCAAGGGUAUGGCUGUUCGCCAUUUAAAGUGGUACGCGAGCUGGGUUUAGAACGUCGUGAGACAGUUCGGUCCCUAUCUGCCGUGGGCGCUGGAGAACUGAGGGGGGCUGCUCCUAGUACGAGAGGACCGGAGUGGACGCAUCACUGGUGUUCGGGUUGUCAUGCCAAUGGCACUGCCCGGUAGCUAAAUGCGGAAGAGAUAAGUGCUGAAAGCAUCUAAGCACGAAACUUGCC
rnacentral:rRNA from 1 species